AGCUGAAGUGCAGGUUGCCUAUGCCUGGUAUAGUAUUUCAAAAGUGCAAAUGAGAAAGGGGUGAUUGGUGUGUGUGUGUUAGGGCACUCCAGGCAUAACUACGACUGCCUGCUGUAGUGAUUAUGGUGCCUGGUGUGUUCAUUUUUAUAGCUGCAGUGUCGAAUAGGUAGAUACCCAGAUGUUUCAUGAUGCAUUGAUCUUGUAAUGACUUUAUUAAAGCUUCCUUCUACAAUAUCGGGGACCUAGCUUUUGGGCACCCCUGCUCCUAUAAGAAUCAAAACCACUUUAGUGUACAGAAGCAUUUUUGGUGUAUAUAUCACGACCCUGCAGUCUCAAUGCUCAGUUCUCUGCUAUUUAGGAGUUAAAUCGCUUUGUUUAUUGAGCCCUAGUCACACCACCUUGUAUGUGACUUACAUAGCCUGGGGAGGUGUGGCUAGGGCUGCAUGGACAGAAACGAGUGAUUUUAAUGCCAAUAUGGGAGAGAACUGAGCAGUAAACCUGCAGGGCCAUGAUAUAUUCACAAAAAGUGCUUC